AUGCCUACUAUGAUGAAAUAUUGCGGAUGUAAAAAUUUAUCGUCUUGUCGGAAAAGCGCAACUUACACAAUGUCGAAAUCUUCCGUUGCCUUCCUUCUGAAUUUAGGCU
rfam:Colletotrichum sublineola strain TX430BB Scaffolds0536.1, whole genome shotgun sequence.